GAGUUUGAUCUUGGCUCAGAUUGAACGCUGGCGGCAUGCCUUACACAUGCAAGUCGAACGGCAGCACGGGAGCUUGCUCCUGGUGGCGAGUGGCGAACGGGUGAGUAAUGCAUCGGAACGUAUCCUGGAGUGGGGGAUAACGUAGCGAAAGUUACGCUAAUACCGCAUAUUCUGUGAGCAGGAAAGCGGGGGACCUUCGGGCCUCGCGCUCUUGGAGCGGCCGAUGUCGGAUUAGCUAGUUGGUGAGGUAAAGGCUCACCAAGGCGACGAUCCGUAGCAGGUCUGAGAGGAUGAUCUCGCCACACGUGGAAC
rnacentral:rRNA from 1 species